UCUUUUCUUUUGAUAGGAGAGUUUUUAAAACCAGUGUUAUUUUUGUAAGUUUAAGAGAAGUUUGUGUAUUGAAUUUUUUAUUUUUAAUAUUAAAGAGCUUUGUUAAACUUAGACUUAAGUUUAGGUCAUUUUGGGGGUUUAGCUCAGUUGGCUAGAGCAUCGGCUUUGCAAGCCGAGGGUCAAGGGUUCGAGUCCCUUAACCUCCAUUGGGCUUAUGUCCUAAAUCGUAAUUAAGUAUGUUUUUAAGUAACUUUGUUAAAGUAAUUGUUGGAAUGUGAAACAGAGGAAGUUAAAAUUUCUGGGUUAAGUUGAGAUCUGUUGAUAUUAAGAAGAAUCUCUAGAAGCAAAAGCAAGCUUUCGAUAAAACCCGAAGUUGUUUCGCUAAAGUGCAAGGAUUAAACAGGAUUGUAUUUUCCAGUAGCCUAUUUUAUAAACGAUCUGCAUUUAGUAAAUAGUUUUUAGUUAAGAAAUAAUGCAGAUUGCUAAGUGUGAUGCCUGAAAGAAGGACAAGUAUUGUAGCGAGCCUAAAUCCUUGUUAUCGUUGCCAGUAUUUAGUGGUAGGGAUUCGGAUAAGACUGCCAUUUAUAAGUUGGAGGAAGGCAAAGAUUGCAUUAAAUCGUUAUCGCUCUUAUGUUUUAGGUUACAAGUUUGCCACAAUAACCCAAAAAAGCUAAGCAAAAUGCUAUAAAGCAGAUUUCAGUUUGGAUUUGCCCGACACUCAAUGGCAUGAAGUUGUAAUUGUUAGUAAUCG
rnacentral:tRNA from 1 species